CACGUAGGGGGCAAGCGUUGUCCGGAUUUAUUGGGCGUAAAGAGCUCGUAGGUGGUUCGGUAAGUCCGCUGUGAAAGUCCAGGGCUCAACCCUGGAAAGCCGGUGGAUACUGCCGGGCUAGAGUCCGGGAGAGGCGAGUGGAAUUCCUGGUGUAGCGGUGGAAUGCGCAGAUAUCAGGAGGAACACCGGUGGCGAAGGCGGAUCUCUGGGCCUUACCUGACGCUCAGGUGCGAAAGCUAGGGGAGCGAACAGG
rnacentral:rRNA from 1 species